GACGAACGCUGGCGGCGUGCUUAACACAUGCAAGUCGAACGGAAAGGCCCUGCUUUUGUGGGGUGCUCGAGUGGCGAACGGGUGAGUAACACGUGAGUAACCUGCCCUUGACUUUGGGAUAACUUCAGGAAACUGGGGCUAAUACCGGAUAGGAGCUCCUGCUGCAUGGUGGGGGUUGGAAAGUUUCGGCGGUUGGGGAUGGACUCGCGGCUUAUCAGCUUGUUGGUGGGGUAGUGGCUUACCAAGGCUUUGACGGGUAGCCGGCCUGAGAGGGUGACCGGCCACAUUGGGGCUGAGAUACGGCCCAGACGCCUACGGGAGGCAGCAGUGGGGAAUAUUGCACAAUGGGCGGAAGCCUGAUGCAGCAACGCCGCGUGCGGGAUGACGGCCUUCGGGUUGUAAACCGCUUUCGCCUGUGACGAAGCGUGAGUGACGGUAAUGGGUAAAGAAGCACCGGCUAACUACGUG
rnacentral:rRNA from 1 species